rnacentral:rRNA from 1 species
GGAUGCGAUCAUAGCAGCACUAAAGCACCGGACCCCAUCAGAACUCCGAAGUUAAGCGUGCUUGGGCGAGAGUAGUACUUGGAUGGGUGACCUCUUGGCAAGUCCUCGUGUUGCAUUCC